GUGGGGAAUAUUGGACAAUGGGCGGAAGCCUGAUCCAGCCAUGCCGCGUGUGUGAAGAAGGCCUUUUGGUUGUAAAGCACUUUAAGCGAGGAGGAGGCUCCUUUAGUUAAUACCUAAAGUGAGUGGACGUUACUCGCAGAAUAAGCACCGGCUAACUCUGUGCCAGCAGCCGCGGUAAUACAGAGGGUGCGAGCGUUAAUCGGAUUUACUGGGCGUAAAGCGUGCGUAGGCGGCUUUGUAAGUCGGAUGUGAAAUGCCUGAGCUUAAAUUAGUAAUUGCAUUGGAUACUGGAAAGCUAGAGUAUGGGAGAGGAUGGUAGAAUUCCAGGUGUAGCGGUGAAAUGCGUAGAGAUCUGGAGGAAGACCGAUGGCGAAGGCAGCCAUCUGGCCUAAUACUGACGCUGAGGUACGAAAGCAUGGGGAGCAAACAGGAUUAGAUACCCUAGUAGUCC
rnacentral:rRNA from 1 species